rnacentral:rRNA from 1 species
UACGGAGGGUGCGAGCGUUGUCCGGAAUCACUGGGCUUAAAGGGCGCGUAGGCGGGCUGGCAAGUCAGGGGUGAAAGCCCACGGCUCAACCGUGGAAGUGCCUUUGAUACUGCCGGCCUGGAGGGAGGUAGGGGCGUGCGGAACUUCCGGUGGAGCGGUGAAAUGCGUAGAUAUCGGAAGGAACACCGGUGGCGAAAGCGGCGCGCUGGACCUCUUCUGACGCUGAGGCGCGAAAGCCAGGGGAGCAAACGGG